rnacentral:rRNA from 1 species
GACGAACGCUGGCGGCGUGCCUAAUACAUGCAAGUCGAGCGAGUCUGCCUUGAAGAUCGGAGUGCUUGCACUCUGUGAAACAAGAUACAGGCUAGCGGCGGACGGGUGAGUAACACGUGGGUAACCUGCCCAAGAGAUCGGGAUAACACCUGGAAACAGAUGCUAAUACCGGAUAACAACAGAUGAUGCCUAUCAACUGUUUAAAAGAUGGUUCUGCUAUCACUCUUGGAUGGACCUGCGGUGCAUUAGCUAGUUGGUAGGGUAACGGCCUACCAAGGCGAUGAUGCAUAGCCGGGUUGAGAGACUGAUCGGCCACAUUGGGACUGAGACACGGCCCAAACUCCUACGGGAGGCAGCAGUAGGGAAUCUUACACAAUGGACGCAAGUCUGAUGGAGCAACGCCGCGUGAGUGAAGAAGGGUUUCGGCUCGUAAAGCUCUGUUGUUGGUGAAGAAGGACAGGGGUAGUAACUGACCUUUGUUUGACGGUAAUCAAUUAGAAAGUCACGGCUAACUACGUG